rnacentral:tRNA from 1 species
GUGGUUAUGGCCCAGUGGUAGAGCACGCCUAGCACGUGCAAGGCCCUGGGUUCAAUCCUCAGCACCACA